GUUGAACUGUAUUCGUGUAUCUGUUAUAUCAUUGAUAUUAUGUUUGUGUUAUGAGAGUUGCUCAAGUUAGUGUACACUGUGAACUUCAACCAGACAAUCCUUCACUGGCCUCCCUUUAUACAGUAUCACCUCUCAUUAUCAGUUCAUGUGUGGGGCAUGGGUAGAAAGUUUCCCAAGUAUACAUGUAUAUCGCUCUUUACUGUUCUCAGCUGUGAAGGAAACUCCUAGUUCGGGGGUCGAUGCUGGCAUUGGGUUUGCCUGUCCCAGAUGAACAUUACCUUUGAAGGUGUUGUGCUUCCACUACGAUGAUGUAGAGCUAGCGGUGUAUAUCCCAGAGAAAGGUGUGCGGAUUAAUACUCAAACCGGAAUCACACGUGUAUAUGUUUGACUCAAGGGAAUGUCCACUUUGUAGAGCCGUGAUGUUCAACUGACACUGCUACACGAACUUAACUUUGUACUUUGAACUUUGAACUUUGUACCUAGACUGAAUUACAUGCGAGGCCAGUGAGACACGUAAGGAACAUCCUGUGUGACCCGUGACAAAGCAACGUGUAUCUUGUUCUUCUUCUGCUGGGAAGUAUGUUGUAACGAGAUAUGAUGACGUGAUGCUGUGACGUCAAAUUGAGUUUCUCCCUUCGCGCCGGAGUCACUACACCAGGGGAGAUAACCUGUAUCAUCCCAUGUCAGCAUGCUUGUUUUUCUGAGAAACUGACUUAUUGUUGGAUCUGUUACUCAAAAUGGAGGCAGUCAAAACCACGAAACUGUGUAUUCCCCGCGGAACCCGUGAUUACCAUACUAAUAACAAUAGUAAUAACGCGAUGUGUUAGUUUGCUAUUGACGUCAUGGACAGCACAUAUUAUGACAUCCUUGUUUAAUAAAAUACACCAAAUACUGAAUGGAUAUUGUGUCGUAUAUAUGUUGUACUAGCAAUGUACAUGAUCCAUUCUGGGUCCGACAUAACUGCUUGACAUCGUCAGGAUCAAUCUCAACACUCGGGACGUGAAUCAAGCAGAUAUCAAGCAGAAACAUAGCCUGAGUUAACCAGGAUUCGAACCCAGAACCACAGGUUAACGUGACAAUGUAUAACACUCAAGGAAAGCUACAGGGGGC